rnacentral:rRNA from 1 species
GACGAACGCUGGCGGCGUGCUUAACACAUGCAAGUCGAACGGAAAGGCCCUGCUUUUGUGUGGUGCUCGAGUGGCGAACGGGUGAGUAACACGUGAGUAACCUGCCCUUGACUUUGUGAUAACUUCAGGAAACUGGGGCUAAUACCGGAUAGGAGCUCCUGCUGCAUGGUGGGCGUCGGAAAGUUUCGGCGGUUGGGGAUGGACUCGCGGCUUAUCAGCUUGUUGGUUGGGUAGUGGCUUACCAAGGCUUUGACGGGUAGCCGGCCUGAGAGGGUGGCCGGCCACAUUGGGACUGAGAUACGGCCCAGACUCCUACGGGAGGCAGCAGUGGGGAAUAUUGCACAAUGGGCGGAAGCCUGAUGCAGCAACGCCGCGUGCGGGAUGACGGCCUUCGGGUUGUAAACCGCUUUCGCCUGUGACGAAGCGUGAGUGACGGUAAUGGGUAAAGAAGCACCGGCUAACUACGUG